rnacentral:rRNA from 1 species
UACGAAGGGGGCUAGCGUUGCUCGGAAUCACUGGGCGUAAAGCGCACGUAGGCGGCUUUUUAAGUCGGUGGUGAAAUCCUGGAGCUCAACUCCAGAACUGCCUCCGAUACUGAAAGGCUCGAGUCCGGGAGAGGUGAGUGGAAUUCCGAGUGUAGAGGUGAAAUUCGUAGAUAUUCGGAGGAACACCAGUGGCGAAGGCGGCUCACUGGCUCGGUACUGACGCUGAGGUGCGAAAGCGUGGGGAGCAAACAGG